rnacentral:rRNA from 1 species
AGGCGAGGACGGGUAGCCGGCCUGAGAGGGUGACCGGACCACACUGGGACUGAGACACGGCCCAAACUCCUACGGGAGGCAGCAGUGGGGAAUAUUGCACAAUGGGCGAAAGCCUGAUGCAGCAACGCCGCGUGAGGGAUGACGGCCUUCGGGUUGUAAACCUCUUUUAGUAGGGAAGAAGCGAGAGUGACGGUACCUGCAGAAAAAGCACCGGCUAACUACGUGCCAG